AUGAACGCUAGCGGCAGGCUUAACACAUGCAAGUCGAGGGGUAGAAGGAGCUUGCUCCUUUGAGACCGGCGCACGGGUGCGUAACGCGUAUGCAAUCUACCUUUGCAGAGGGAUAGCCCAGAGAAAUUUGGAUUAAUACCUCAUAGUAUGUGAGGAUGGCAUCAUUUUCACAUUAAAGUCACAACGGCAAAAGAUGAGCAUGCGUCCCAUUAGCUAGUUGGUAAGGUAACGGCUUACCAAGGCUACGAUGGGUAGGGGUCCUGAGAGGGAGAUCCCCCACACUGGUACUGAGACACGGACCAGACUCCUACGGGAGGCAGCAGUGAGGAAUAUUGGACAAUGGGCGCAAGCCUGAUCCAGCCAUGCCGCGUGCAGGAUGACGGUCCUAUGGAUUGUAAACUGCUUUUAUACAGGAAGAAACACUCCGACGUGUCGGAGCUUGACGGUACUGUAAGAAUAAGGAUCGGCUAACUCCGUG
rnacentral:rRNA from 1 species